AACUGAUUAAAUAUUUUUGCUCAGGCGAGAAGCGGCCGCCUCAUGGAGUAUGAUGGUGAGGAUGACGGUGGGUAGAGAUGAAAAGGGAAGAAGGCAAAAGACAGAACCCCACAGUCUCUCGUGAACAGCUCCUCCCUGCUCCGACAACACACAGGUUCUCUGUGCACCAGAUCAAACGACGUAUCCGCUUAUCCGAACAAGGACAGGACCGCCGCUGGCUUUCAGACAGCCCUGUGCCGUCCCCAUAAUGGUCACGUGUGGAAAUAACAGUCAGAGCCUCCUCACCUGAACCGCUGGGCCUGGUGGUGCAGGGGCCCAGGGUAGCGCCGGUUGGGGGACUGGUACAGCUGGGACAGCAGGGCCUGGCUGGUCUUCUGGCUGGGGUUGUUGGCGAACUUGACGGUGAUUGGCUCGGCGGCGCCGGACGGCUUCUGCCCGUUCAGGCCCUUGAUGGCCUCCUCGGCCUCUAUCCUCUUAUCAAAGCGGAUGAAGCCCACGCCCCGGGAGCCGCCUGUGGGGCCAGCACAUCACAAAGACACACACCACUUUUACU